rnacentral:rRNA from 1 species
GACGAACGCUGGCGGCGUGCUUAACACAUGCAAGUCGAACGCUGAAGCUCAGCUUGCUGGGUGGAUGAGUGGCGAACGGGUGAGUAACACGUGAGUAACCUGCCCUCUUCUUUGGGAUAACGCCCGGAAACGGGUGCUAAUACUGGAUAUUCACUGAUUCUCGCAUGGGGGUUGGUGGAAAGGUUUUUUCUGGUGGGGGAUGGGCUCGCGGCCUAUCAGCUUGUUGGUGGGGUGAUGGCCUACCAAGGCUUUGACGGGUAGCCGGCCUGAGAGGGUGACCGGUCACAUUGGGACUGAGAUACGGCCCAGACUCCUACGGGAGGCAGCAGUGGGGAAUAUUGCACAAUGGGCGAAAGCCUGAUGCAGCGACGCCGCGUGAGGGAUGGAGGCCUUCGGGUUGUAAACCUCUUUCGCUCAUAGUCAAGCCGCAGCUUUGGGUUGUGGUGAGGGUAGUGGGUAAAGAAGCGCCGGCUAACUACGUG